UCCUAUAUGACUCAGUCAGUAGAGCAUGAGACUCUUGAUCUCAGGGUUGUGGGUUCAAGCCCCACAUUGGGCA